rnacentral:lncRNA from 1 species
UACAAAAAGGCCGAAAAAUGAGAUCACUCGCCUCCAACUCGCCAUGGCAAGCAGAAAAGGCGAGCAAUUCCAGAAAGCAACAAAGAUUACACGCCACCAACUCACAAUGGCGAGUGGAAGGCGAGCAAACUCGCCAUGGCGAGUGGAAUGACUCGCGAGGCGAGCUAGGGCGGUUUAGCCUCUCACAGCUGACGUGGCACAAACCCAAUGGCGAAGGAACCUCAACUCGCC